CGGGGAUGUAGCUCAGAUGGUAGAGCGCUCGCUUAGCAUGCGAGAGUAUUGAAGAUGAAGGAAACUUAAGCUAACAUUCACCAUAAAAAUGAUAGCUUGUGCAUUAAUGGAGAAAAUUUCUGCAGCUGCUUUACCAACUUUUGCUUGGCAAUGGAUAAUAGCAAGAACAAGCGGCUGAUUUAAAACAGCAGAACAAGCUGAUUUAAAACAGAGAACUUGGGCUAACAAAGCCAACUGCAUUACAAUUCUGCACCAAA